AUGCUCACUUUGGGAGCACAUAUACUAAAACUGGAAUGAUACAGAGAAGAUUAGCAUGGCCACUGUGCAAGGAUGACAUGCAAAUUCGUGAAGCAUUCCAUAUAGUG